CCCAACAUGCCCUUGAAUAGGCACCCCCUUAAGUCCUUCUCAUAAUAAACUCAAUUAUUCUAAACUAAUAAAAUAAGUCCUUUAAAUGAAUUAAACAAGUUGAAAGCCUUCAAGUGCCCAAAGUCUUUAAGUCAUGUUGUUGCCCUCUUCCAUAGCUU